CGAGCACGCGCGUGUGGCAUAUCAAUAAGCGGAGGAAAAGAAACUAACAAGGAUUCCCUUAGUAACGGCGAGUGAAGCGGGAAGAGCUCAAAUUUGAAAUCUUCAAGGUUCUACCUUGACGAAUUGUAGUUUAUAGAAGUGUUUUCUGUUAGUAGAGUGGCAAAAGUUCUUUGGAAUAGGACAUCAUAGAGGGUGAGAAUCCCGUAUUUGGUCAUUCUUUCUAGCUUUGUGAUACACUUUCAAAGAGUCGGAUUGUUUGGGAAUGCAGUCCAAAAUGGGUGGUAAAUUUCAUCUAAAGCUAAAUAUUGGCGAGAGACCGAUAGCGAACAAGUACCGUGAGGGAAAGAUGAAAAGAACUUUGAAAAGAGAGUUAAACAGUACGUGAAAUUGUCAAAAGGGAAGCGUUUGACACCAGUGUUGUUUUUCCGAAAAUCAAUUACGAAUGUUUUGUUUUUAAGAAGUUAUGACUUCAUCGGCUUGCUUCUUUCUUUACGAAACUUUCUUAAUGCACUUUUCGGUUAACAAGUCAACAUCAAUUUCUUUUGUUGUAAAAGGGUAUGAGGAAGGUGGCUUUCUUUUCGGAGAAAGUGUUUAUAGCCUUGUGCCUCUGCAAUCGGAGAGAUUGAGGUCUGCAGCGUAGAUCCUUCGGGGUUAGAUACAGUUUGUGCUAAGUUAUAGCUUUUCAUAGACAACUUGUUGACUAUGUUUAGUCCUGUAGCUUACUCGCUUAUGCUAUUUUACCUACGCUUAGGAUGUUGAUGUGAUACUGCGAGC
rnacentral:rRNA from 1 species